rnacentral:lncRNA from 1 species
AUUCUGUGCUAUCAAAUGUGAAAUUUCAUCCCUUGUUUUAUGCUUUUCUGGUUCUCACAUGUUGUUCUGUGCAUCAUGCAUUUUAUCUGUCAUAUCGUUACCCUUGUAACCACUCUGCCACUUCUCCUGCCAAAAUUUUAUUUUGGUCGUCCUUCCUCCAGUUCAUUACUUCGCCCUAUGAAGCUCUUUGCUUGUUCGUGUCUUUUGACAAACUUAUCCUUUUUUUAACACACCUGUUUUGUGGCUGUCUGGAACCGUGUUUUGGUUAUUAAUUCUAAUCUGUUGGGAGUUCAGUAAUAAGUAUUCUUCAAGGUCUAAGAGUAACAUUUCUGAUUUGACAUUACAGUGGUCAUAAAUUAAAAUCACAUUAGAGUUCUGUAAUAUUUCUGGCCCAUUCUGAUUCUCACCAUCCAUCUUCAUUAUUAUGUGACGAGAAGAUGUUUUAUAUGGUUUUAUUAUUGGAAGAACAUUUUAAAAUUACAGAAUAAUAUUUCAUUAUUAAUUCUAUACCUGUUUUGUGGCUGUCUGGAACCGUUUUUUGGUUAUUAAUUCUAAUCUGUUGGGAGUUCAGUAAUAAGUAUUCUUCAAGGUCUAAGAGUAACAUUUCUGAUUUGACAUUACAGUGGUCAUAAAUUAAAAUCACAUUAGAGUUCUGUAAUAUUUCUGGCCCAUUCUGAUUCUCACCAUCCAUCUUCAUUAUUAUGUGACGAGAAGAUGUUUUAUAUGGUUUUAUUAUUGGAAGAACAUUUUAAAAUUACAGAAUAAUAGUACGAGCGUUACUUACUACGUGUACCUCAUAGUAUACUGGUUAAUACAAAGUACUAACCAUAAUUUAUAUUUUUGUCAAAUACACAUAAUGAUAUUACUCUGUGAGUACUUGAGAUGCUUGUUUGUUGUAGGUUCUUUCGGUCAGCCUAUCACUUAUAUGUGCUGCCACGCUACUGUAACCUUAUCGAGUUGAGUCAAUUCUUGUUCCCCAAUGUUAGUCCUGGCAGUGUCUGUACGUGAUUGUUACAUAAACGAAAUGUGAAUUGCUCAUAGAAUCGCCUAGCAGGAAAACACAACGUAAUGUUUUGCUUUUCAAGAGCUUCAUCUUUUACUCCCUUGGUUUCAUUUACUCGGUGUUUGAUUGAGCACAGAGUUUAGAAAUAAAUAAGGACUAUUGGUAUAUACCAAAGGUACCCCUUAGAAAGGUGCCGGUCAUUCUGUAACAGACUAAAAUGAAAGAAGUGUUGCAUGAAAUGGAACCAGCGGAUUAAAUUAUUCUAAGCCUACCAUUCUCACCUCACACUUUUCCAUGAUUAUUAGGACUUUCCGGUCAGAUUACCAUUGCUAUUGUAUAUCAUUGAAUUGACUCAGUUUUGUGCCAAUCUUAAAGUUUGCUUGUCCCGGGUCUUUUUCUAGGUUGUCCAUCCCCAAGUGUUCCUUUCAUCUUCUUGGGGGUUGUUCUCUCUUUUUGAUUUUGGGGUCUGUUUAAGAAUGUCAUAUAAUGAGAACUGCUUGCAUCUAUAAUAUGUUAAAAUUAUCUUGCAAAUGUGUUAAUGCUUGUAUAUGCAGUCAGGUUGUUUGACCAGAGCGCAUCCAGGCUAGUUGCUUUCUCAACUUUUUUUU